rnacentral:lncRNA from 1 species
GCAGACCUACAGGCAGCCACGAGCUGCUCCCAUCGCACAGCUGUCGAGGAAUCACGGGCAUGCAGCUGGCAGGGCACGAGCAGCAGCACCGCUGCCAGGCUGGGACAGGAGGGUGACAGCACACGGGACAGGAGAACGCACAAGGGGGGAUGGAAAUCCUGUGACAGCAGCUCGUGUGGAGCCAAGGAGGGGAGGGCGCAGCACCAGGGAGGCUAUGGGGAGUCCUGCUUCCCUCCUGCCUACUGCGCCCACGCAGCCACUCACGUGUUUGGCCUCAAUGCCGGCCAGCUGAACACGGCCCCGGCUCUCAUCCACGUUUUCUUCUUGCUGAGCCUUCCUGCACUCAGCCAGCUCCCUUUCCUUCUCGGCCAUGAUCAGCCUGGUCAGGUAAGAGUGCAGCUCGUUCUCUUGGUUGAUCCGCUUCUCCUCGAUGCUGUUCCAGCGCUUCUUCUUGGCGAUGCGCAGCGCACUGGGGAUGUCGUCCCCAAAAUUCAGCCUCUGCUCCUUGGCGAGGUUAUAGGCUCUCUGCAGGUUGGCGAUGGCCUCGUCGUAGUUCUCCAUCUCCAUCUGGCACUGCCCCAGGAAGAAGUGAGCUUUGACCGACUGCCCAUCCAGCUCCAGAGCCCGCUUGCAGUCUGCCAGUGCCUUGUCGUGCUGCUGCAUCUUCAGGUAGCACAGCGCCCGGUUGGUGUAAUACACGGCCACCAAAGGGUUCCGGUUGAUGGCGCGGCCAUAGGCGGCAGCGGCCUCGGGGUACUUGCGGCCGCCGAAGAGCCGGUUGCCCUGCUCCUUGUGCUCCUGCGCGCUGUGGCUCUUCUCGGGGCUGCCUCCCCCCGCUCCCGGCCCCGCGGCCCCCGGCCCGACCGCACCUCCGCCGCCCUCCCGCUCCCGUUCCUCCUUCCCCUUCAUGGCCCGGCCCGACCCGGCCGCUCGGGGCCGGCGGCUCAGCUGCCUCCGGCCGCGCACUGCGACAGCGCCGCACCGCCCCUCCACUUCCGGGGCGGGGCUUCACCCG